UACGUAGGGUGCAAGCGUUUAAUCGGAAUUACUGGGCGUAAAGCGUGCGCAGGCGGUUGUGCAAGACAGAUGUGAAAUCCCCGGGCUUAACCUGGGAAUUGCAUUUGUGACUGCACGGCUAGAGUGUGUCAGAGGGGGGUAGAAUUCCACGUGUAGCAGUGAAAUGCGUAGAUAUGUGGAGGAAUACCGAUGGCGAAGGCAGCCCCCUGGGAUAACACUGACGCUCAUGCACGAAAGCGUGGGGAGCAAACAGG
rnacentral:rRNA from 1 species